UAGGCGUAAAUGAUGCGAGUUAAGUGUGGGGCAUCUACGAGAUGGCCCUGUGCUGUAGGGUAGCCGUUAAACUCGCUGCCUGGGAGUACGGUCGCAAGGCCUGAAACUUAAAGGAAUUGGCCGGGGGGAGCACCACAAGAGGUGGAGGCUGCGGUUCAAUUGGACUCAACGCCGGAAACUCAUCGGGAGCGACAGCAGUAUGAUUGCCAGGUUGAUGACCUUGCUUGACAAGCUGAGAGGUGGUGCAUGGCGUAGUCGUGU
rnacentral:rRNA from 1 species